ensembl:lncRNA
CCCGGGGAAUGGAGGCUUCACCCCGAGGUGGUGAAGCAGAUAUGGACUAUAUUUGGUCAGGCUCAGGUGGAUCUGUUUGUGACUCAGAUGACAUCGCACUGUCCCCUUUGGUUCUCUCUAGUUCGUCCAGCUCCUCUGGGACUGGACUCUAUGGUACAGACGUGGCCGAGGCUUUGUCUGUACGCUUUUCCCCCGAUCGCUCUGCUCCCGGGUGUUCUGGCGACAGUACGCCGGGACGGGGUCCGUCUUCUAUUAGUAGCCCCAUUCUGGCCGGGCCGAGUAUGGUUCUCAGAUCUGAUCUCGCUCCUCGACGGCUCUCCAUGGGAGAUUUCCGUCAGGAGGGAUCUCCUCUCACAGGCGAAGGGCACGAUAUUCCACCCCCGCCCGGAGCUAUGGAAGUUAUGGGUGUGGCCCCUAAGGGGGCACAUCUCGUAGCUUCUGGUCUCUCAACCAAGGUUGUUGAGACCAUCCUCCAAUCCAGAGCUCCCUCAACGAGGAAAUUGUAUGCCUUGAAGUGGAAACUUUUCACUUCUUGGUGCGGAGAUCACCAAUUUGACCCAGUCAACUGCCCAGUCGGUACAGUGCUGGAGUUCCUGCAGGCCCAUUUCUCCGCAGGGUUGACUCACUCCACCCUGAAGGUCUACGUGGCGGCCAUUGCGGCCUACCACACCCCUCUCGGUGACCAAUCAGUGGACAGACACCCCCUAGUUUCACGUUUCCUCCGUGGUACGCUGAGGCCUCCGAUACGUUCCCCUGUCCCCACGUGGGACCUGGCUGUGGGGCUAGAAGCUCUUUGUACGCCUCCUUGCGAGCCUAUUGAAGAAAUCGCUCGCCGCUAUCUUACGAUUAAGACUGCUUUUCUUCUAGCUAUUACUUCUCUAAAGAGAGGUGGGGAUCUUCAGGCCCUCUCAGCGGCCCGGCAUGCCCAAAGCGUUGCUCUACCAUCGAGCGGGGUAUGUCCCGAAGAUUCCCUCAGUGAUCCAGCCUAUUGUACUGCAGGCCUUCAGUCCUCCUCCAUUCGGGGAGCAAGACCAGCAGAAGCUAAACUGUAUGUGUCCAGUGCGAGCAAGGCGGACCAACUGUUUGUAUGCUAUGGUCCCCCUAAGAGAGGUCUUCCGGCCACAAAACAGACCCUCAGUCGGUGGAUAGUGGAUGUAAUUACUACUGCCUAUGAGUCCUCUGAUCUCCCCUCACCAUUGGGAGUCAAGGCUCACUCUACCCGCAGUAUGGCGGCCUCCAAGGCCUUCUUGUCAGGUGUGUCCAUGCAGGACAUCUGCAACGCAGCUGGAUGGUCCACGCCCCUCACAUUCGUCAGAUUUUAUGGUUUAGAUCUGCGAGCCACUCCAGGCUCUUCUGUUCUCUUGCCUUAGCUGUGCUCCCCAUAUACACACUAGGCAGGGACUUGCAAGUCUGGCGGCGUGGGCAUUCUUGUUCCCAUAGCGUUUUUCGGACGCAGCUCGAGUUCCUGAAGGGGAACGUCCCAGGUUACGUAUGUAACCAUGGUUCCCCGAAGGGAACGAGACGCUGCGUCUCUAGGCCAUACUU